CUUGGAACUAGCAGGAGAAACUUUGCCGUUACACGUAUUGUGUGUGUGUGUGUGUGUAUAGAUGUCAGUUCCCAUUCUACUCUAAACUGCCCUUUAUGUCACAGCCUGUUUCUCUGCACUGAAAGGAAGGCUGUGUGUGUCUGUCUCUCUCUCUCUCUCUCUGUCCAAUAGUCACUAAAACAUCCCCCCUCUUUUCUCAUACUGAGAGGAGGAGAGGGAGAAGGGGAGAGACAGAGCCCAAGUUCUACCGUUGUUUCGAACCUAUAGAAAACAGUCUGUGUCAUUAAAGUGUGUUUGUGUGUAUGUAUCUAUGUGUGUGUUUGUGUGUAUGUAUCUAUGUGUGUGUUUGUGUGUAUGUAUCUAUGUGUGUGUUUGUGUCUAUGUAUCUAUGUGUGUGUGUGUGUGUAUGUAUCUAUGUGUGUGUGUGUGUGUGUGUAUCUAUGUGUGUGUUUGUGUCUAUGUAUCUAUGUGUGUGUGUGUAUGUAUCUAUGUGUGUGUGUGUGUGUGUAUGUGAGUGUGUAGGUAUCUAUGUGUGUGUGUGUGUGUGUGUGUGUGUGUGUGUGUGUGUGUGUGUGUGUGUGUGUGUGUGUGUGUGUGUGU
ensembl:lncRNA